AGCCCGGGCGCGAAACCUUUACACUGCACGCACGUGCGAUAAGGGGACUCCGAGUGCGAGGGCAUAUCGUCCUCGCUUUCGUGUACCGUAGGGUGGUACACCAACAAGGGCUGGGCAAGACCGGUGCCAGCCGCCGCGGUAAUACCGGCAGCCCAAGUGAUGACCGAUCUUAUUGGGCCUAAAGCGUCCGUAGCUGGCUGCGCAAGUCCGUCGGGAAAUCCACUCGCCCAACGAGUGGGCGUCCGACGGAAACUGCACAGCUUGGGACCGGAAGGCUCGAAGGGUACGUGCGGGGUAGGAGUGAAAUCCUAUAAUCCCGCACGGACCACCGAUGGCGAAAGCACUUCGAGAAAACGGAUCCGACAGUGAGGGACGAAAGCCAGGGUCUCCAACCGGAUUAGAUACCCGGGUAGUCCUGGCCGUAAACAAUGUUCGCUAGGUAUGACACAGACUACGUGUCUCUGUUGUGCCGUAGGAAGCCGAGAAGCGACC
rnacentral:rRNA from 1 species